UACAGAGGGUGCGAGCGUUAAUCGGAAUUACUGGGCGUAAAGCGCGCGUAGGCGGCUUUGCAAGUCGGGUGUGAAAUCCCCAGGCUUAACCUGGGAACUGCAUUCGAGACUGCAUUGCUAGAGUAUGGGAGAGGGAAGUGGAAUUUCCGGUGUAGCGGUGAAAUGCGUAGAUAUCGGAAGGAACAUCAGUGGCGAAAGCGACUUCCUGGACCAAUACUGACACUCAAGUGCGAAAGCGUGGGGAGCAAACAGG
rnacentral:rRNA from 1 species